AAGUCGUAACAAGGUUUCCGUAGGUGUGAAGCGUUAUCCUUGCACAAUCAAUGACACUUUCAGACACUGACUGCUUGGGGAAACAAGGCCUAUAGAACUACCGCUCAAAAUUGUAACUGUUCCAAUAUUCGCACGGGCCAGAGGUCUCUGAAUCAAAACUACUUUCCGGGCUAUGAUUUACCAGAGAUUGCAAGCUUCGCGGGUUACAAGAGCAGGAUGAAUGUUCACGGGGGGUUUUAACGUUUGGAUACGUGUUAAUGAUCCUUCCGCAGACCGCAUCUCGCGGGCAGGAGCUAGGCCAAAGGGUCCCCAUGCCCCCUUACAACCCCACAGUUUAAUGUGAAGCUCAAUGUAAUACAUUGGGUAAAAAAACCGAACAACCGUUAACAAUGGAUAUCUUGGUUCUCC
rnacentral:misc_RNA from 1 species